rnacentral:rRNA from 1 species
GACGAACGCUGGCGGCGUGCUUAACACAUGCAAGUCGAACGGUAAGGCCCUUCGGGGUACACGAGUGGCGAACGGGAGAGUAACACGUGGGUGAUCUGCCCUGCACUUCGGGAUAAGCCUGGGAAACUGGGUCUAAUACCGGAUAGGACUCCGGACUGCAUGGUCUGGGGUGGAAAGCUUUUGCGGUGUGGGAUGGGCCCGCGGCCUGUCAGCUUGUUGGUGGGGCGAUGGCCUACCAAGGCGACGACGGGUAGCCGGCCUGGGAGGGUGACCGGCCACACUGGGAGUGGGAUGCGGCCCAGACUCCUACGGGGGGCAGCAGUGGAGAAUAUUGCACAAGGGGCGCAAGCCUGAUGCAGCGACGCCGCGUGAGGGAUGACGGCCUUCGGGUUGUAAACCUCUUUCAGCACCGACGAAGCGCAAGUGACGGUAGGUGCAGAAGAAGGACCGGCCAACUACGUGCCAGCAGCCGCCGUAA